rnacentral:rRNA from 1 species
AAUGAACGCUGGCGGCGUGCUUAACACAUGCAAGUCGAACGAGAAAGUCCUUCGGGGCUAGUAAAGUGGCAAACGGGUGAGUAACGCGUGAGAAUUUACCUUUUAGUGAAGGAUACUCCCGAGAAAUCGGGGUUAAUACUGCAUAAGUCUCUACGGAGAGAAAGGCGGCCUCUUUGCUGUCGCUAAGAGAUAAGCUUGCGUCCUAUUAGCUAGUUGGUGUGGUAAAGGCGCACCAAGGCAAUGAUGGGUAACCGGCCUGAGAGGGUGUACGGUCACACUGGAACUGAGACACGGUCCAGACUCCUACGGGAGGCAGCAGUGGGGAAUAUUGCACAAUGGGCGAAAGCCUGAUGCAGCGACGCCGCGUGGAGGAAGAAGGUCUUCGGAUUGUAAACUCCUGUUAAAUGGGAAGAAAGACUUCUGGCUAAUACCCAGAGGGGAUGACGGUACCAUUAGAGAAAGCUCCGGCUAACUUCGUGCCAGCAGCCGCCGUAA